rnacentral:rRNA from 1 species
UACAGAGGUCCCGAGCGUUGUUCGGAUUCACUGGGCGUAAAGGGUGCGUAGGCGGUCGGGUAAGUCUGAUGUGAAAUCCCGAGGCUUAACCUCGGAACUGCGUCUGAAACUACUCGACUAGAGUACUGGAGAGGGAAACGGAAUUCACGGUGUAGCAGUGAAAUGCGUAGAUAUCGUGAGGAACACCAGAGGCGAAGGCGGUUUCCUGGACAGUUACUGACGCUCAGGCACGAAAGCAUGGGGAGCAAAAGGG